rnacentral:rRNA from 1 species
GCAGCAGGCGCGAAACCUUUACACUGCACGCCAGUGCGAUAAGGGGACUCCAAGUGCGAGGGCAUAUCGUCCUCGCUUUUGUGUACCGUAAGGUGGUACACGAAUAAGGGCUGGGCAAGACCGGUGCCAGCCGCCGCGGUAAUACCGGCAGCCCAAGUGAUGACCGCUCUUAUUGGGCCUAAAGCGUCCGUAGCUGGCCGUUCAAGUCCAUCGGGAAAUCCGCGCGCCCAACGCGCGGGCGUCCGGUGGAAACUGUUCGGCUUGGGACCGGAAGACCUGAGGGGUACGUCUGGGGUAGGAGUGAAAUCCCGUAAUCCUGGACGGACCACCGGUGGCGAAAGCGCCUCAGGAGGACGGAUCCGACGGUGAGGGACGAAAGCUCGGGUCACGAACCGGAUUAGAUACCCGGGUAGUCCGGGCUGUAAACGAUGUCUGCUAGGUGUGACACAGGCUACGAGCCUGUGUUGUGCCGUAGGGAAGCCGUGAAGCAGACCGCCUGGGAAGUACGUCCGCAAGGAUGAAACUUAAAGGAAUUGGCGGGGGAGCACUACAACC